rnacentral:rRNA from 1 species
AUGCAGAGGCGAUGCAGCGGCUGUUGCUCAUUGCAGGGGAAGCAAAGGCCGUCGACGGUGUACUUGGUGAAGGGCGGCGCGACGCUUGAAGCAGAGGAACAACACGACGACGAGGGCGGCGCGUGGGUGCUCGAUGCGGUCAAUGGGGAAAACAGGAGCUCUGUUGCGUCUCCCUCAUGCUCGAUGCAGAAGCAGAGGAAGAAGGUGCGGCGGCGCAAAAGCUUGGCGGACGGAGGAGAGCGGCGCUGGGCGUCAGGAGGUGCGGGGAAGGCCGGGACGGUCCCGAUCUGGGAGGACCCGAGGCGGACGAGCGGUUCCCGGUGGUGGCUUGAGCAUCGGGCGGCCAUGGAGCUCCAAGCGCCCCUGUGUUCCCUGCGAGAGAGAGGAAACAGGGAGAUGAGAGGGAGAGAGAGAUAA